UGCAGUGAUAGAUAGCUAAUGGAGUGACAGUUAAGUUGAAUUUGGGAGGCUGAUAAGAUGGCAGCCUUGCAACAGAGGCAGGUAGUGGGGUUGGGGGAGAACAUCUGAUGCAGAGUAAAAAUAAGAUCUCUGAUUCCAAAGGUCAUGAAUUGUUAGAUCAUGGGAUGACUGUGUAUCAUUGGAAGAUGUAAGCUCAAGAAUAUUCAUGAAUAUAUGUUCUAUUAAACAUUGAAAUUGCCACAGCCACUCUAACCUUCAGCAACUGCCACCCCAAUCAGUCAGCAGCCGUCAAGGCAAGACCUUCUACCAGCAAAAAGAUUAUGACUUGCUGAAGGCUCAGAUGAUGCUUAAUUAAGAAUUCCCAGCAACCAAAAGUAAGCCUGAGUUUGUACCAAGUCUAGGUUAGAAGAGGCAAAAAUUGAAGACCUACAUUUGUACUGUUCAACAAAGUAGCCAUGGGCCAAAGUGGCUGUUGAGCACUUGAAAGGUGAUUGUGGUGAGCAUGCACCCACUUUUGCAGCUAUCUAAUAAAAAGAUGGAAAUAGUUGGACAACUCGUAUAAACUGUGAGA
rnacentral:sRNA from 1 species